GAAGAAAGGAUUGCACAGGCAGAAGGUGUCUGAAGCUGACCUGGUGGAUCAAGAAGCUGUAAAGGCCCUUAAA
rnacentral:lncRNA from 1 species